UACAGAGGGUGCGAGCGUUGUCCGGAAUCACUGGGCGUAAAGGGCGCGUAGGUGGCUGUGUAAGUCGGGGGUGAAAUGCUGCGGCUCAACCGCAGCGCUGCCUCCGAGACUGCACGGCUUGAGCACGGUAGAGGCCGAUGGAAUUCCCGGUGUAGCGGUGGAAUGCGUAGAGAUCGGGAAGAACACCGAUGGCGAAGGCAGUCGGCUGGGCCGUUGCUGACACUGAGGCGCGACAGCGUGGGGAGCAAAC
rnacentral:rRNA from 1 species